rnacentral:snoRNA from 1 species
AAAAAACUGAAUUUGAACAGGGAUUAAUGAGCGUCUUUUUGAAAAUAAUGAAAAAGCCGUCUAAGCCAGCUAGUUCUUGGCAAAAUAAAUGUAUUCGAGCGUACUCAAUUACACUAUUUUUGCCAAGAAUUAGCUGGCUUAGACGGCUUUUUAAAUAUUUUCAAAAAGACGCUCAUUAAUCCCUGUUCAAAUUCAGUUUUUUACAAUUUUAACCCUGUUUGGCUAUUU